rnacentral:rRNA from 1 species
UGCCAGCCGCCGCGGUAAUACGAAGGGACCUAGCGUAGUUCGGAAUUACUGGGCUUAAAGAGUUCGUAGGUGGUUGAAAAAGUUAGUGGUGAAAUCCCAGAGCUUAACUCUGGAACUGCCAUUAAAACUUUUCAGCUAGAGUAUGAUAGAGGAAAGCAGAAUUUCUAGUGUUGAGGUGAAAUUCGUAGAUAUUAGAAAGAACAUCAAAAGCGAAGGCAACUUUCUGGAUCAUUACUGACACUGAGGAACGAAAGCAUGGGUAGCGAAGAGGAUUAGAUA